UACGUAGGGGGCAAGCGUUGUCCGGAAUCAUCGGGCGUAAAGAGCGUGUAGGCGGCUUGGUAAGUCCGCUGUGAAAGUCCAGGGCUCAACCCUGGAAUGCCGGUGGAAACUGUCAAGCUUGAGUCCGGAAGAGGCGAGUGGAAUUCCUGGUGUAGCGGUGAAAUACGCAGAUAUCAGGAGGAACACCAAUGGCGAAGGCAGCUCGCUGGGACGGUACUGACGCUGAGACGCGAAAGCGUGGGGAGCAAACAGG
rnacentral:rRNA from 1 species